rnacentral:rRNA from 2 species
UACGUAGGGUCCGAGCGUUGUCCGGAAUUAUUGGGCGUAAAGAGCUCGUAGGCGGUUUGUCGCGUCUGCUGUGAAAUCCCGAGGCUCAACCUCGGGCCUGCAGUGGGUACGGGCAGACUGGAGUGCGGUAGGGGAGAAUGGAAUUCCUGGUGUAGCGGUGGAAUGCGCAGAUAUCAGGAGGAACACCGAUGGCGAAGGCAGUUCUCUGGGCCGUAACUGACGCUGAGGAGCGAAAGCGUGGGGAGCGAACAGG